CAGCUGCUUACUAUAUAUUGAGGACUAAUCUGAUUAAGACCUAGUCAUGCUGAUCAGGGUGAAAUUCAAUGGUGAACAAAAAUAUGUCAAGAUCAUUGACCUGAUACUUGGAGAUCCCACUUACUAGUUUAUCAGAGGCAAAGCUAUAUGAUGGGUCCAGAACUGAAGUUGAUGGGGAUGUUUGAGGAGGUGGUGAAAUGGCCAGAUCUUGGUGUUCUCAAGCUCACACUGAACAAUGAUGCUAAAGGUAUGUCUUGGUUACUUGUGGCAUCACUUUCAAUAUAACCAUACACGUGACAUGCCUGUAUUGUCAUCUUUGUGCAUUUCAGAAUCUUCCCUGAUGAGACAUGUCUCUGCCAGUUCUGUGAUGGGUGGUUCAGACCAUUGCAUCGGAAUCCUACCGCAAGCUCUGAACCUUUUCACCAGAUCAUCGCAGCUAGCUAGCUGUAAUCCGAGUGGCUACUCCCGGCUAAUGUCCCGGUCCCAAAGCAAGCACCAGGUAGCCUGGAACUAGGCCCAUCUCCCGGCUAGCCAAAGAGGUACACCAGCCAAUUCUUGGGCUACAAUACCUCUUUUGCCAAUUGGCCUGGACCAUUUACUGCCGACCCGGAGCCCCUCCGAUCCAUCACGACUGGUCUGCCAACGUAACCGUCUGAGGGGGUUUCAACAGGCUCUUCCAUUGCGAUGUCGCCGGAGGCCCAUCUGCUUGCCUCGGUCCGUUAGCUGUCUGAAUCGCUGUGUCUCCAGCUCGCCUAGUGUAUUAGCGACUACUCAAUCAGGUCUAUUGCUACUCAUUGGACCCUAUGAUCACUCGGCUACACAUGCUGCUCCACAAUGUCAAUAUGCCUUGUCUAUUGCUUCUCUGGUUAGUUUUUUCUUAUUUCACUGUAGAGCCCCCAGCCCUGCCCAAUAUGCCUUAGAUAGGCCUUUUGUUCCACCCUCCACACAUGCGGUGACAUCACCUGGCUUAACUGGUGCCUCUAGAGACAUAACCCCUCUCAUCAUCAAUCAAUGCCUAGGUUUACCUCCACUUUACUCACAUUCUACCAUACCCUUGUCUAUACAUUAUGCCUUGAAUCUAUUCUUCCACGCCCAGAAAUC